rnacentral:rRNA from 1 species
UACGGGGGGGGCAAGCGUUGUUCGGAAUUACUGGGCGUAAAGGGCUCGUAGGCGGCCAACUAAGUCAGACGUGAAAUCCCCAGGCUCAACCUGGGAACUGCGUCUGAUACUGGAUGGCUUGAAUCCGGGAGAGGGAUGCAGAAUUCCAGGUGUAGCGGUGAAAUGCGUAGAUAUCUGGAGGAAUACCGGUGACGAAGGCGGCAUCCUGGACCGGCAUUGACGCUGAGGAGCGAAAGCCAGGGGAGCAAACGGG